rnacentral:rRNA from 1 species
AGAUCGAAUUGUAAACUUUAGAGUCGUUGUCCAGACCAGCCGAGUAAAUAAGUUCCUUGGAAUAGGACAUCAUGGAGGGUGAGAAUCCCGUCUUUGGCUUGAGCAUUGGUCUUUUGUGAUGCGACUUCAACGAGUCAGGUUGUUUGGGAAUGCAGCCUUAAUUGGGUGGUAAAUCUCACCUAAAGCUAAAUAUUGGCGAGAGACCGAUAGCGAACAAGUACCGUGAGGGAAAGAUGAAAAGAACUUUGAAAAGAGAGUUAAACAGUAUGUGAAAUUGCUAAAAGGGAACCGUUUGAAGUCAGUCUGGCUGGUCUGCAAUCAGCUUCAACUUUGGUUGGAGUGCACUUGUAGGCCAUUUUGCCUGCCAACAACAGUUUGUUCUGCAGCAAAAAGGUGUUGAGAAUGUAGCUUUCUCUUUGGAGGAAGUGUUAUAGCUCUUCGCGAAAUACUGUGGUUCAGACUGAGGCUUGCAGUGAAUGCUAUUUUGGCUUUGGGGAUGGAUUGCUCAGUGCUUUGCUUGG